rnacentral:rRNA from 1 species
CCUACGGGAGGCAGCAGUCGAGAAUCAUUCACAAUGGGGGAAACCCUGAUGGUGCGACGCCGCGUGGGGGAAUGAAGGUCUUCGGAUUGUAAACCCCUGUCAUGUGGGAGCAAAUUAAAAAGAUAGUACCACAAGAGGAAGAGACGGCUAACUCUGUGCCAGCAGCCGCGGUAAUACAGAGGUCUCAAGCGUUGUUCGGAAUCACUGGGUGGAAAGCGUGCGUAGGCUGUUUCGUAAGUCGUGUGUGAAAGGCGCGGGCUCAACCCGCGGACGGCCCAUGAUACUGCGAGACUAGAGUAAUGGAGGGGGAACCGGAAUUCUCGGUGUAGCAGUGAAAUGCGUAGAUAUCGAGAGGAACACUCGUGGCGAAGGCGGGUUCCUGGACAUUAACUGACGCUGAGGCACGAAGGCCAGGGGAGCGAAAGGGAUUAGAUACCCGAGUAGUC